rnacentral:rRNA from 1 species
CACGAAGUUAGCCGGUGCUUAUUCUGUCGGUAACGUCAAGACACUAACGUAUUAGGUUAAUGCCCUUCCUCCCAACUUAAAGUGCUUUACAAUCCGAAGACCUUCUUCACACACGCGGCAUGGCCGGAUCAGGCUUUCGCCCAUUGUCCAAUAUUCCCCA